rnacentral:rRNA from 1 species
AGCGAACGCUAGCGGCAAGCUUAACACAUGCAAGUCGAGCGCUUCACUUCGGUGAAGAGCGGCGGACGGGUGAGUAACACGUAGGUUAUCUACCCUUUGGUGGGGAAUAACUGGGGGAAACUCCAGCUAAUACCGCAUAUGGCCUUCGGGUCAAAGCCUUCGGGCGCCAAUGGAUGAGCCUGCGUCCCAUUACCUAGUUGGUAGGGUAACGGCCUACCAAGGGGACGAUGGGUAGCUGGUCUGAGAGGAUGAUCAGCCACACUGGGACUGAGACACGGCCCAGACUCCUACGGGAGGCAGCAGUGGGGAAUAUUGCGCAAUGGACGAAAGUCUGACGCAGCUAUGCCGCGUGUGUGAUGAAGGCCUCCGGGUCGUAAAGCACUGUCGGGAGAGAAGAAGUUCUGACGGUAUCUCCCAAGAAAGCACCGGCUAACUCCG